rnacentral:rRNA from 1 species
UACGUAGGGUCCGAGCGUUGUCCGGAAUUAUUGGGCGUAAAGAGCUCGUAGGCGGUCUGUCGCGUCGGCUGUGAAAACCCGGGGCUCAACCCCGGGCCUGCAGUCGAUACGGGCAGACUAGAGUUCGGUAGGGGAGACUGGAAUUCCUGGUGUAGCGGUGAAAUGCGCAGAUAUCAGGAGGAACACCGGUGGCGAAGGCGGGUCUCUGGGCCGAAACUGACGCUGAGGAGCGAAAGCGUGGGGAGCGAACAGGAUUAGAAACCCCCGUAGUCC